CCUCAGUAACCCCUUUUCCUUUUCCAUUAUCCUCCGUAAGCCCAUUUCUUUUUCCAUUAUCAUCCACAACCGUCCUUCCUUUGCGCAUGGUAAUGUUGAUAGAUAUCUUGAUGUCCUUUUCUGUUGUGAUUUGAGCACAUUUGUUGAACAUACACAACAGAUCUUCCCACGGAUAUUUAGCUUGGCAAUUACCCGAACAAACUAUCUCGGUCCACAUUGCACCGCUCUUCAUUCUUCCACUCGAAGUGACCACAAUCUCUAAUACAGCAUAAGAACAAUCUCCCUUUGUUCGAAGUAUUUUUCUCCACCUCCAUACAUUUCUCGAAUCCCUGGCCACAGCUUGGACAUCGUUUCUUUGUUGGGCGGUCUGACAAGUAGUGCCCGGGCUUCCUACAACUGUGGCAUAUGCCUUUGUUCUUCCCUGCCAUAACACUGUAAUAAUUGAAGUAGGAAUACAUAUAAGAUAGUAAAGGAUAAUACAAAUUGUUUCUGCAAAAUAGGUAUCAAAAAAUAAUCUUUAUGAAAGAAUUGCAAGAAAGAAUUCCUAAUUACAUUAUCUUCAUGAAAUAAUCUUCGUGAAACAAUAGAUACAAUCCAACAAGACAUUCAUUCCGAGAUAGGCAGUGUAUGGCCACUUCAUGAAGCCAGGGUAGGGAUAAUGUAUACAUAUAGAUAGCAAGAUAGAUAGAAAGAAAGAUAGAUCAGUUUACCCUUGGUAACAUUCAGAUUCAACCUUUAGAAUUUUGUCUUGUAACCAGCGAGCUAUCAUCCUUAACACCCCACACAAUAGGGAUCAUCAGAAAAUGCUCCUAUGAACAAACAUAGAAAGAAAACAAAACACUACAAGAAUACACCAUAAACGGUCCAUUACUGACCUAGGAUAUGCACAAAUUGACAGCCUUCCACCGGAAAUAGUAUUAGCCCAGAACUCUUGAUUAUAGAAUUUCCACGUAGCUCAAAAUGAAUAAAAGAUAGACAGGCAUGUGAAUGUAAACUAGUCCAUAAAUUUAGAAGCAUUUCCUCUACCUUAUUCCAACAAAAAUACGGUAAAGAGCACAUUUCACGUCCCUACAACCUUGGAAAUACCUUUAUCGCUCACAAAAGUUGUUGGGCUUCAGGAAAUUCAAACUUCGCAGAUGAAGUUUUGAUGAGCACAACUUGAUUUCUAUGGUUUAGCAACCAAUUUCUGUCGUUCAGCAACCAAUCGCUAGGGGUCGGAGACAGGAGUAAAAAGUUUGAAAUUUGUUGGGCUUGGGGAUUCGUAUUUCAAUCGUGGUUGGGCAUGAUAGUGGGUUUGUGGGGUUGGGAUUCACCUGAAUUUGGAGAUGGUGUUCAAUGGUUGAAUAUCGAUUUAUGGCAUUCGCGAUUUAGGGUUCUCUGAUUUAUGUGAUUUGGGGCUCAAUUUCAAUUGCGUAUAGAGACUGAGGAAUUAAACGUCGUUUGUCGUCGAGUAAGCUGACGUGAUGUCAUAUCUGCAAGGAUUGAAAUGGAAGUUUGGGGAGUGAGGGAUGGAGGCAGAUUUGUGUAAGUCCAAUGACCACUCGACAGCAUAAGGAAGUUCGGUGACCACAUCGUGACAAUAGGUGAAGUUCAGUGACUGAUGAAACUUUUUACUCGGUCACAUUAUAUGAUUUAGAGAAUUCCAAGGCCGAAUUUCAUUAAACUAUAUUAUAGCAUGCAUUUGUACUAUGUUAGUGCAUGCUAUAGCAUAGUACAUUUUCAGUGGAAAAAUUUUAGUUUCCUUAUAUGACUCAAAUUUUUAUGGAAACAAAUUUUGGGAUAUCUUUUAAAGACCUAGAGUUGUCCAUAGGUAGUUGAUCAUGCAUUACAAUACAUUCAUAUAGGUUAUAGGGCACAGAAAGAGGCAAAAAAAAAACGAAAAUCGAUUCCAAUACUCGAAAAUUCAAUUCAAAAUUUAAUUGGAUAAUGUUGAUUAUUCAGCAUUUCUUUUAUUUUUAUCUUCAUAACAUGCUAGGCUAAAUGACACGACCCGUCCCGAAUCACCCUAUGGAUCAGAAACGUGACCUGCGCAGAGGGUAGAUGCUGACUAGAUGCCAGAUUCACCACCAAGGCUGACUAUGAGUUACUAAAAAAUAUGUGACAAAAUAAAAUAUUUAAAUAAAUAAAUAUUGCAAUGGGCCCACAAUAAUUACUUCAUGUUUUAUCAAAUUGACUCAUGUCAUUCAAUAUAUCGUGUGGCUUCAACUUAGAAAUCACCAGACUCCUCAAGCAAUCAAUGACUAAUACAAUACUACAUGUAAGAAUAAUUUUAGAAAAACAUGAGUUGAUAGCUCAGUGAAUGGAAGAGUUCAAAAAUAAUUAUAUUUUUACCUUUAAACAUUUUUACCAAACAUCUAGUUCAUAGCGUUUAACAUUCACAUGAUAGACUCAUACAAUUAUAGUAAAAAAGUAAGACAUUCUUAUAACACUGUAAAUAUAAUCUCAUAAUCACGAUAUAGUCGUCAGCUGAUAUCUAUACUAUCAUCUCAUCAUAUUACAUGUGAUCCACCAAAAAUGUACCCUCUGACUAAAAUCUGAAAUCCGCCCCUUAGGCCAAACACUUUCGACACGGGCCUUUGGCCCCUUUCGUGAAUGAAAGCAGGUCUUAAGACCUCUAGUAAUCAAUUCUAUAACACGACCAAGGCCCCUUAGUAAACUAUAUGUACACGGCCACAACCCCUUCAUCCUCAGUCAACCCCUCAGUAUAGUAUAGAAUACGGCCAAGGCCCCUCAGUGAACUAGAAAAAUAUAUUAUCACGGAUACUUUUCUGGUCGAUCUCAAAAUUACAUGUCUCAUAUACCAAACAAAUCUCAAUAUUACAUGUCUUAUAUACCAAGUCACAAAUGUAACAUAAAUAAUUUUUGAGAUUCCACAUGUAUUAUAAUAAAAAAUAUUUCCAUAGUAACCAUAUAAUUCAAACACAUAAUUGCACAUACCUUGAUAAUAUACUUAAUUUAUAAAUACUUUAAAAAUAUUUAUAUUUUUCCACUCACAGAGUUAUAGGCUGCAAGCUAAUCUAGACAUUUUGCUUUCCGAAUAUCCUCGCUACCUCAUCCUGAAAUAACAAUAAAAUUGCAUGAAUUCAUAUUGGUCGUGGAAUAACAAAUACCCAUCUUACUUGUAUUCCUCUAUUUUUAUUCUUUAUUUGUUUCAUAGUUCUUCCUAUAUAUUUUAAUAAGUUUCAUAUUCGCUUGAUUGAAACCAAAACCCAUCAUAAAUCCUUGUUCAAGCUGAAAAGAAGCCUAAAAGAGAAGUCCAAAAUUCUUUCUUGAUGGUACCUAGACAGCCACUUGUUCGCAUAAAAGUCCUCCCGUCUAGUUGUCGAAAACAAAAAUUCCUACUUAUACUAAUAUAAACCCAUAUUGUUCAAGUAAUUGGGAAAUUUUGAACACAUAAUCAAUGAUUAAAGUCAAUAACAUCAAACCCAUUUCCCUUUUAAUUCUCGUUUCUCACACCUUCAACCCAAAUUCCACUGACUUUCUAAUUCUUGAAAUCCAGAUAUGGAUAAAAAACCAAAAAUCACCUCAACUAACACUAUAAUAAAUAAAGUCUUAAAACAAACUAGUCCCUAUAAAAUGCUUGACUUUAAACACUAAUUCCAUUUUUACCUAUUGAAAUAGAAGAAGAAUUGGAGACCCAUGAGCUAGAAUAGACAAUUUCUUUCGAUCAACUUGAUUGGCCACCAUCUUCUAUUUCCCUUUUUCUUUCCCAAAUCUUCUUCUACCUCUCGAUUCUUCUGUGCUCCCCC
rnacentral:lncRNA from 1 species